rnacentral:rRNA from 1 species
UACGUAGGGUCCGAGCGUUAAUCGGAAUUACUGGGCGUAAAGCGUGCGCAGGCGGCUAUGCAAGACAGAUGUGAAAUCCCCGGGCUUAACCUGGGAACUGCAUUUGUGACUGCAUGGCUAGAGUACGGUAGAGGGGGAUGGAAUUCCGCGUGUAGCAGUGAAAUGCGUAGAUAUGCGGAGGAACACCGAUGGCGAAGGCAAUCCCCUGGACCUGUACUGACGCUCAUGCACGAAAGCGUGGGGAGCAAACAGG